UACGAAGGGUGCAAGCGUUACUCGGAAUUACUGGGCGUAAAGGGCGCGUAGGCGGCCCUCCUUGUCGCGUGUGAAAGCCCCGGGCUCAACCUGGGAAUUGCGCGCGAAACGGGGGGGCUUGAGUUCGGGAGAGGAGCGUGGAAUUCCCAGUGUAGAGGUGAAAUUCGUAGAUAUUGGGAAGAACACCGGUGGCGAAGGCGGCGCUCUGGACCGAGACUGACGCUGAGGUGCGAAAGCGUGGGGAGCAAACAGG
rnacentral:rRNA from 1 species